ACAGGGUCCUCUGAUCAGCUUAUACAGAAGCCAUACAGCUGUGCAUCAGAAGCGGUCUCUGAGAUCAAGACAAGUGACUGCAGCAAAGAGGUCAGUCUCAAUCCCAUCACAGAGGAAGAACCCACCCUGUGUUAUAUUUGAGACAACAGAAGGGGAAGUCUGCAGCCACUGGAAACAAGACUGGGUAUAUGAAAAGAUCAAGGAGCUAGAGCACGCACGCAGAGGAGUAAGACUGCUCUCAACUCCAGCUCACAGAGAGCAUCCUUCUUUAUUACGAAUAGAAAGGACUACAGACAUUUGUUUUAAUUUGAAAUACUUUUAAAUGCUUUCUAAUUUCAUCUCUAUUGUAUAUUUGUAACCAGGGAUGUUUAUUUUUUCUGUUUUGCCUUUUUAAUUUAAAUUUCCGCUUAUGGUAUGUGCUUGCUCUUUUCAAACACACCGUAUAUCUCCAUGACAAGAGUAAUACAGCUGAGACUUUUAUGGUGUUUUUCAUAAAUGAAAUGACUGAUCCCAUCAUGUAUCCACAGUCUUGUUGUUAUCUGAUUUUCUUUGCUCGGUUACAA